GAUGAACGCUGGCGGCGUGCCUAAUACAUGCAAGUCGAGCGAACAGACGAGGAGCUUGCUCCUCUGACGUUAGCGGCGGACGGGUGAGUAACACGUGGAUAACCUACCUAUAAGACUGGGAUAACUUCGGGAAACCGGAGCUAAUACCGGAUAAUAUAUUGAACCGCAUGGUUCAAUAGUGAAAGACGGUUUUGCUGUCACUUAUAGAUGGAUCCGCGCCGCAUUAGCUAGUUGGUAAGGUAACGGCUUACCAAGGCAACGAUGCGUAGCCGACCUGAGAGGGUGAUCGGCCACACGGGAACUGAGACACGGUCCAGACUCCUACGGGAGGCAGCAGUAGGGAAUCUUACGCAAUGGGCGAAAGCUUGACGGAGCAAAGCCGCGUGAGUGAUGAAGGUCUUCGGAUCGUAAAACUCUGUUAUUAGGGAAGAACAAAUGUGUAAGUAACUAUGCACGUCUUGACGGUACCUAAUCAGAAAGCCACGGCUAACUACGUG
rnacentral:rRNA from 1 species